GUUUUACUCUUUGAUACCUGAUUCACCUGUCAGGCUCUUGACAAGGCUUCACACAGUGGUGUGGUCUGCAGUCUACACAUGUGAGAUACAGAACCUAGGAGGCAGAGACUUUAUGUUAGGAUGUGUUUAAUGAAACAGAAAAAUCGACAACGCCAAUUUUGGUUUGAGAGAAUAGCAUCUAAUGUGAAGUGGAGCACAUUAACUGAAAUGAGGUGCUGUGUUUGACAACUCUUAGCCUCUGGAAGAUGCUCUUUUUAAGGCAACCUGUUCCUAACUUUAAUUAGGUAAGUAGCAUAUCCUGUUCUAGAUAGGUUAUUCAUAUCUAGUUCAUAUAUUUGAUUUGUGUCAGUAUGUCAAGCAGAGGCCAGACACCUUUAAUAGGAGACAGUAGAGAGAUAUAAAGUGAAUCAAAGCUUUAGACUCUUACAUCUGCUUCUAACAGGCUAUCCUGCAAAAAUGGAGGAGCCCUAGAUUGAGCUGCUGAGUGGUUUUAAGAAUCAGUGCAGGCUUCUUGCCCAAUUCUAUUUAGCUGAGGUCAUGGACACACAUCCUCCCCCAGCCACAGAUGUGUUUGCUGACAAGGCACCAUAAGCUUUCUUUCAGCCUAGCAGCAUUUCCCUGCAUCUGGUUGACAUUACAGCAGGUAUAACAGGUCCUGUGAGCACUCUCUACUUCCCUUAAUUGAAGAUGAGCUGCAUUACUUUAAAUGGUCAAAUAAGAAUGUUUUGCUGAUAUCAGCAAAUUUUCAUGUCUGCUUGGAAGGGAAGGGGAAGAGAGGGAGAGGGAAAUUCCCCACUUUUUUCAGUAGUGUACAUCCACAGUAAGCCGAAUUGAGCUCCAGCAAGG
rnacentral:lncRNA from 1 species